CCUACGGUGUGCAGCAGUGAGGAAUAUUGGUCAAUGGCCGCAAGGCUGAACCAGCCAAGCCGCGUGAAGGACGAAGGUGCCAAGCAUUGUAAACUUCUUUUGUCAAGGGACAAAAUCAGGCUCGAGAGCCUGACCGAGGGUACUUGAAGAAAAAGCAUCGGCUAACUCCGGGCCAUCAGCCGCGGUAAUACAGAGGAUUCGGACGUUAUCCGGAUUUAUUGGGUUUAAAGGGUGCGUAGGCGGGCUGUUAAGUCAGCGGUAAAAGCCCGGGGCUCAACCCCGUCGAGCCGUUGAAACUGGCUGUAGUGAGAUGUCGAGAGGUAUGCGGAAUGCGUGGUGUAGCGGUGAAAUGCUUAGAUAUGGCGCAGAACUCCGAUUGCGAAGGCAGCAUACCGGCGGCGAUCUGACGCUGAGGCACGAAAGCGUGGGUAUCGAACAGGAUUAGAUACCCCGGUAGUC
rnacentral:rRNA from 1 species